UGGCGUGUAUUAGUAAUUCGACCGGCAGAGAUAGCGAGGAUGGUGAACCAAGAAGAUAAAAUUAUUGUAGCUCCAAAUGGCUUAUUUCUUUCUUUGUGGAUGAUAAAUAUUGCCUAUUCUAAUGUAUAUCAUAGCAAUCAUCUUUAGAUCUUCAUAUUUGACUGAUCACAACGAUGCAUAAAAAAUAAAACUUCCAGGUAUAUUUUAACCAGAAGCAAUAAUCAGAAGAUAGGUUUCCUUCACUUUUAUUGGACUGAUACAUGACAGUGGACGUCGCCAUAUUUCUUGUGAUGUCUACGUGGAUGAGACGGCAGAGAAUUCUGGUAGAGGAAGAGUCCAAUAAAGAAAGCAGUAGACCUACCGGAAGUGGAGGGACAAAACAAAAAACGCACCUUGGUACUUUAGCUGGCUAUUGACACUCUAAUAGGCCACUGACACUCUCUCAGGCUAUAGGCAUUCUUAUUGUCUAUCCAGUUUCUUAGGUUAUUAACAUUUUAUCUGUAUAUUGACAUUGUGCAAGAUCAGACAGUUUACCAAGUUACUGAUACCAUUACUAGUCUAGUAAUACUCUCUUAUGGAUAUUAACACUAUACUGAGCCACUGACAAUCUAUCGUUUUAUUGACAGAAAGAAUGUUUAUUUUCUCAAAAAUAAAAAUAUUGGUUAGUUAUUUGUAUUAGAUGUUGUUUUCAGUUACUCCCAUUUACGAAGAUGACAGAACUUAAAUACUGCUACAACACGAGAAAAUUUGGGUUCCAUUUAAAGGUAUUUGGCUGAAACGUUAACCACACAUGUUGCUGUCCCUUAUAGCUCUUUUAACCAUUCUUUUGUAUUUUUCAGUGUAGAAACUGUAGUAUAGUAAGUUAUAAAAUUGGAGUGUAUGAUAA